AGAGUUUGAUCAUGGCUCAGAACGAACGUUGGCGGCGUGGAUUAGGCAUGCAAGUCGAACGAAUCCCUUGGGGGAAACUCUGAGGGGGAAGUGGCGAAAGGGGCAGUAAUGUAUGGGUAACCUACCCCCAGGUCGUGAAUAGCCUUUCUAACGAUUGGGUAAUGCACGGCGUGGUCUUCGGGUGGCAUCACCUGGCGAUUAAAGAACUUCGCCUGGGGAGGGGCCCAUAUCGUAUCAGCUAGUUGGUGGGGUGACGGCCUACCAAGGCGAAAACGCGUAGCGGGUGUGAGAGCACGACCCGCGCCACUGGCACUGAGACACUGGCCAGACUCCUACGGGAGGCUGCAGUCGAGGAUCUUCGGCAAUGGGCGCAAGCCUGACCGAGCGACGCCGCGUGUGCGAUGAAGGCCUUCGGGUUGUAAAGCACUGUCGAGGGGGAGGAAGCCGCAAGGUUGACCUAUCCCUGGAGGAAGGACGGGCUAAGUUCGUGCCAGCAGCCGCGGUAAGACGAACCGUCCAAACGUUGUUCGGAAUCACUGGGCUUAAAGGGCGCGUAGGCGGGUGAGCAAGUCUGUGGUGAAAUCCCCCGGCUUAACCGGGGAACUGCCGUGGAUACUGCCCAUCUCGAGGAGGAUAGGGGCAUCUGGAACUAGCGGUGGAGCGGUGAAAUGCGUUGAUAUCGCUAGGAACUCCGGUGGCGAAGGCGAGAUGCUGGAUCCUUUCUGNNGCUGAGGCGCGAAAGCCAGGGGAGCGAACGGGAUUAGAUACCCUAGUAGUCC
rnacentral:rRNA from 1 species